rnacentral:rRNA from 1 species
UACAGAGGGUGCGAGCGUUGUCCGGAAAUCACUGGGCGUAAAGGGCGCGUAGGUGGCGACCCAAGUCGAUGGUGAAAGCUCGCCGCUCAACGGCGAGUCGGCCACCGAUACUGGGUUGCUCGAGCACUGUAGAGGCUAAUGGAAUUCCGGGUGUAGCGGUGGAAUGCGUAGAGAUCCGGAAGAACACCGGUGGCGAAGGCGGCCUG